AACGAACGCUGGCGGCAGGCCUAACACAUGCGAGUCGAGCGCCCUUUCGGGGGAGCGGCGGGCGGGUGAGUAACGCGUGGGAAUAUGCCCUUCUCUACGGAAUAGCCUCGGGAAACUGAGAGUAAUACCGUAUACGCCCUAUGGUGGUAAGAUUUAUCGGGGAAGGAUUAGCCCGCGUUGGAUUAGGUAGUUGGUGGGGUAAUGGCCUACCAAGCCGACGAUCCAUAGCUGGUUUGAGAGGAUGAUCAGCCACACUGGGACUGAGACACGGCCCAGACUCCUACGGGAGGCAGCAGUGGGGAAUCUUAGACAAUGGGGGCAACACUGAUCGAGCCAUGCCGCGUGAGUGAUGAAGGCCUUAGGGUUGUAAAGCUCUUUCAGCUGGGAAGAUAAUGACGGUACCAGCAGAAGAAGCCCCGGCUAACUCCGUG
rnacentral:rRNA from 1 species